rnacentral:rRNA from 1 species
GACAGAGGUGCCGAGCGUUAGGCGGAAUCACUGGGCUUAAAGCGUGUGUAGGCGGGGGCCUAAGUACCUUGUGAAAUCCCACGGCUCAACCGUGGAACUGCUCGGUAUACUGGGUAUCUUGAGCCACUUAGGGGCAACCGGAACAAACGGUGGAGCGGUGAAAUGCGUAGAUAUCGGGAAGAACACCCGUGGCGAAGGCGGCACUCUGGGACGGUACUGACGCUGAGACGCGAAAGCGUGGGGAGCGAACAGG